rnacentral:rRNA from 1 species
AGGACGAACGCUGGCGGCGUGCUUAACACAUGCAAGUCGAACGGUAAGGCCCCUUCGGGGGUACACGAGUGGCGAACGGGUGAGUAACACGUGGGUAAUCUGCCCUGCACUUCGGGAUAAGCCUGGGAAACUGGGUCUAAUACCGGAUAUGAGCUCCUGCCGCAUGGUGGGGGUUGGAAAGUUUUUCGGUGCAGGAUGAGUCCGCGGCCUAUCGAGUCUUGGUUGGGUGGGGUAAUGGACCCUACCAAGGCGACGGACGGGUAGCCGGCCUGGAGAGGGUGAUCGGCCACACUGGGACUGAGCACGGCCAGCUCCGUAGGGAGCAGCGAGGUGGGGAAU